CAACUACUCCCUCUGUCCCAAAUUUCUUGUCUUAGAUUUUUCUAGAUACAGAUGUAUCUAAUACUAAAAUGUGACUUGAUACAUCCGUAUCUAGACAAAUCUAAGAAAAGAAUUUUGGGACGGUGGGAGUACUUU
rnacentral:pre_miRNA from 1 species